GAUGAACGCUAGCUACAGGCUUAACACAUGCAAGUCGCGGGGCAGCAUGGGGGUUGCUUGCAAUCCCCGAUGGCGACCGGCGCACGGGUGAGUAACGCGUAUUCAACCUGCCCUUCACCACGGGAUAACCCGGCGAAAGUCGGACUAAUACCGUAUGUUGUCCAUUGACGGCAUCCGAUUUGGACGAAGGGCUUGGCGGUGAGGGAUGGGGAUGCGUCCGAUUAGCCAGACGGCGGGGUAACGGCCCACCGUGGCUACGAUCGGUAGGGGUUCUGAGAGGAAGGUCCCCCACACUGGAACUGAGACACGGUCCAGACUCCUACGGGAGGCAGCAGUGAGGAAUAUUGGUCAAUGGGCGUAAGCCUGAACCAGCCAAGUAGCGUGCAGGAUGACGGCCCUAUGGGUUGUAAACUGCUUUUAUGCGGGGAUAAAGUGGCCCACGUGUGGGCUUUUGCAGGUACCGCAUGAAUAAGGACCGGCUAAUUCCGUG
rnacentral:rRNA from 1 species